UUGUACUAAUCAAAUCCAUCAAGAACGAGAAGAAGCAAAUUAUUGCUCAAAAUCUUUCGUUUUAUUGUGGAUAAAAUUCUUAAAUAAUGGCCAGUGUCGCUGUUGUAUUGCGAGGUUGUCGCCAAGCUCCAAAGGUAUGUUUAUUGGGCUAUAUUUUCCACGAGAAAAACUCGUAUAUUUAUUACACAACAAUUCAAAUAUAUUAUGCUUCGAGAAGUAAUUUUAAUAUUCUAUUUACUAGAUUCCUGUCAAGCAUUUGACAUCGAUUUCUGUCAGAUCCCAAUCUACAGCUGCAUCGGUAAGAUUCUUACUAAUUUCAGCUUUUCCCGUGUG